rnacentral:rRNA from 1 species
GGAGGUUAUUUGUUGCCCGUACCGGAAACCGACACAGGUGGACGAGGGUAGUACCCAAAGGCGCACAAGAGUACCCCUGUUAAGGAACUCGGCAAAAUGCACGUGUAACUUCGGGAUAAGCGUGGCCUCUAGUAGGUGAUGGGGAGAAACCGAAGCUGAAAGAGGUUGCAAAAAGGAGGCUCUGGCGACUGUUUACCAAAAACACAGAUCUCUGCUAAGACUUAAGUCUAAGUAUAGGGAUUGAGACCUGCCCGGUGCCAGAAGGUUAAAGAAGGGGGUCAACGGGGUAACCCGUGAAGCUCUUGACUGAAGCCCUGGUAAACGGCGGCUGUAACUAUAACAGUCCUAAGGUAGCGAAAUUCCUUGUCGGGUAAGUUCCGACCUGCAUGAAUGGUAUAACGACUGGAGCGCUGUCUCAACAGGGGACUUGGUGAAAUUGAAGUAUCGGUGCAAAUACCGAUUACCCGCAGCUAGACGGUAAGACCCUGUGAACCUUUACUGUACCCUGGCAUUGUAUUCUGGCACGUUCUGUGUAGGAUAGGUGGGAGGCUAUGAAGCGUGGGCGCCAGCUUGCGUGGAGCCAACCUUGAAAUACCACCCUUAACGUGUCGGACUACUAACGGAUGCUGUGGAAGCAUCUAGACAGUGUCAGGCGGGCAGUUUGACUGGGGCGGUCACCUCCCAAAGUGUAACGGAGGUGUACGAAGGUUCCCUCGAGCUGUAUAGAAAUCAGCUGAAAGAGCGUAAAGGUAUAAGGGAGCUUGACUGCGAGAGAGACAUCUCGAGCAGGGACGAAAGUCGGUCUUAGUGAUCCGGUGGUUUUUGUAUGGAAAAGCCAUCGCUUAACGGACAAAAGGUACUCCGGGGAUAACAGGCUGAUACCGCCCAAGAGUUCACAUCGACGGCGGUGUUUGGCACCUCGAUGUCGGCUCAACUCAUCCUGGGGCUGAAGUAGGUCCCAAGGGUUCGGCUGUUCGCCGAUUAAAGAGUUACGUGAGCUGGGUUCAGAACGUCGUGAGACAGUUCGGUCCCUAUCUACUGUGGGCGCUGGAUGUUUGAGGGGAGCUGUUCCUAGUACGAGAGGAUCGGAAUGGACGUACCUCUGGUGCACCAGUUGUCGUGCCAACGGCACAGCUGGGUAGCUAUGUACGGAAGGGACAACCACUGAAAGCAUCUAAGUGGGAAGCCUCCCCCAAGAUUAGAUAUCCCUUAAGGUUCCAGGUAGACUACCUGGUUGAUAGGUCGCAGGUGUAAGUACAGUAAUGUAUUCAGCCGAGCGAUACUAAUAAACCGUUUGACUUGCCCCU